UUUGUCUAAAAUUAAUCGUGCGGUCGACAAUCUGAGUGAGUGGAUUUUAUAAAUAUAUACGUAACGUUCUUUUCUUCAGCUGAGAAAUAUCUCAUUUUACAGAAAAGGAGGGGGUUCAACCUUACCCCGGAAGUGAUAACUUUUACCCAACCACGCCUCCAUCCACCAGCCGAACCGUCUUACAUUCGUAUCAGCCCAGCCAGACCGUCAGAUCACACGCGAACGCGAAAGCUGUUCGUUACAGGACCAUCACGCCACAGACGAUCCUCGAAGCUGAGCAACGGCCGACGGCCUACGCACCCCCAAUAUCUCAGCCCCCACCACCUCCAACCCCUUCUCAUGCGCAGACGAAUGAACAACAUCCGACAGCCGCUUCAAUAUCUCCGCCCACACCACCUCCUCCUCCUCCUCCUCCCCCUUCUCCUGCACAGGAACAAUCCGACAGCGACUCUGAAACCGCUGAACGUGCUCCUGAGCAGCCAGCCGGUAAGCUGUUUCACAAAACCGCUCCGCAGAGUAUAUUAAAUUUUGAAGUAAAAAAGAUGAUGUUUUUUAUCCUUUCAGAACAACCCACGACGGACGAAGA